GACGAGCUGUGCAAACGUUAUUCGGAAUCACUGGGCUUGAAGAGUGCGUAGGCGGUUUCGUAAGUAGGGUGUGAAAGCCCCCAGCUCAACUGGGGAACUGCGUCCUAAACUGCGAGGCUGGAGUGAGGUAGGGGUGUGCGGAACUUCCGGUGGAGCGGUGAAAUGUGUUGAUAUCGGAAGGAACGCCGGUGGCGAAAGCGGCACACUGGACCUUGUCUGACGCUGAGGCACGAAAGCCAGGGGAGCAAACGGG
rnacentral:rRNA from 1 species